UGGACUACUGGGGUUUCUAAUCCUGUUUGCUCCCCACGCUUUCGCGCCUCAGCGUCAGUAAUGUUCCAGAAGAUUGCCUUCGCUUUUGGUAUUCCUAGUUAUCUCUACGGAUUUUACCCCUACACAACUAAUUCCAUCUUCCUCUCCCACACUCUAGCCUGAUAGUUUUGGAUGCAGUUCUAUGGUUGAGCCAUAGGCUUUCACAUCCAACUUAAAAGGCCGCCUGCGCGCGCUUUACGCCCAGUGAUUCCGAGUAACGCUUGCACCCUCCGUAUUACCGCGGCUGCUGGCACGGAGUUAGCCGGUGCUUAUUCAUAUAGUACCGUCAUUAUCUUCCUAUAUAAAAGGAGUUUACACACCGAAAUGCGUCAUCCUCCACGCGGCGUUGCUGCAUCAGGGU
rnacentral:misc_RNA from 1 species